rnacentral:lncRNA from 1 species
AUGGGAGAUCCCUCCGACAACCCUGGGCCUCUACACUGACACAGAGAGCCUCCUGGAGUUUUUGCAGAGGCACCGCUCAGUCCCAUGUGGAGCCUCACAGGUCCUGGAUCUCUGAGCAGCCCAGCGCCAGCUGCCAUAUUCUCACUAGAGGCCGUAGUCAUGGUGCCUUAUUCCUCGUUGCUAGGCAAGGCUCAGCUGAAGCUUCCAGCACAGGGACCAGCUCUGCCUAAUCUCUGAGGGUGCGCACAGCUCUG